ACACUCCUGCGGGAGGCAGCAGUGAGGAAUAUUGGACAAUGGGUGGAAGCCUGAUCCAGCCAUCCCGCGUGCAGGAAGACGGCCCUAUGGGUUGUAAACUGCUUUUAUCUGGGGAUAAACCUACUUACGUGUAAGUAGCUGAAGGUACCAGAAGAAUAAGCACCGGCUAACUCCGUGCCAGCAGCCGCGGUAAUACGGAGGGUGCAAGCGUUAUCCGGAUUUAUUGGGUUUAAAGGGUCCGUAGGCGGACUGAUAAGUCAGUGGUGAAAUCCGACAGCUUAACUGUCGAACUGCCAUUGAUACUGUUAGUCUUGAGUAAGGUUGAAGUGGCUGGAAUAAGUAGUGUAGCGGUGAAAUGCAUAGAUAUUACUUAGAACACCAAUUGCGAAGGCAGGUCACUAAGUCUUAACUGACGCUGAUGGACGAAAGCGUGGGGAGCGAACAGGAUUAGAAACCCGAGUAGUCCCAUGAU
rnacentral:rRNA from 1 species